CCAUUAACCCCAAAUUCAAAUAUUCUUGUUUUUUAAUUGAACUCAAUUACCUGCGUUGUAAUUCGUAAUGGAUAAGUGGUUAAAAACUUUCAAAAACAAGCCUACCUAUUCAGAAAGUCAAGCCCAAUUUAUUGAUAUUAAUGAAAAUCUUCAGUCAAACAUAGCGCCUACCUGUUCAGAAAAACAAAAAUAUGGAAGUGAAACCCAAGAUGUUAGUGAUAAUCUUUUCUCAGAUGUACAGGAAAACAAAUUGAAGUGGUCUCAGAAAAAUAACCAUAAUAAAGAAAAGUACAAGUUUUCACACAAAUGGUUGGACAAUGAGGAAUAUAAGGGUUGGUUAAGUCAAUCACAAAAAAAAGGAAUAAAUCAAAUGUAGAAUUUGCUUUCUGUAAAGUUUGCAACUAUGAUAUAUUAGCACACAAAAGUUGCAUAAGACGACAUAUGUUGAGUAGACGUCAUAAAUUCAACUGGCAGCAAGUAGAUAAUAAGAAGAAGAUUCGUUUACCAUGUUUCAUCCAUUAUCGACAUGAGGUACCACCACACACAUCAGCUGCGUCAUCGCUACAAAAGGCAAUGUAUGAUGGUCCUGUGAGCUCACAAAUAGUAUGUUAAUAUUAUAG